rnacentral:rRNA from 1 species
UACGUAGGGUGCGAGCGUUGUCCGGAAUUAUUGGGCGUAAAGGGUCCGUAGGUGGUUAUAAAAGUCUGUCGUGAAAUGUACUGGCUUAACUAGUACAGUGCGUUAGAUACUUUAUAACUAGAGGAUAGCAGGGGAUGAUGGAAUUACUAGUGUAGCGGUGAAAUGCGCAGAUAUUAGUAGGAACACCAAUAGCGAAGGCAGUCAUCUAGACUACUCCUGACACUGAGGGACGAAAGCAUGGGGAGCGAAC